AGGACGAACGCUGGCGGCGUGCCUAACACAUGCAAGUCGAACGGAGUAGAGAGCUUCGGUUUUCUGCUUAGUGGCGAACGGGUGAGUAACGCGUGAGGAACCUGCCUUACAGAGGGGGAUAACGUUUGGAAACGAACGCUAAUACCGCAUAACGUAUCGGAGUCGCAUGGCUCUGAUACCAAAGAUUUUAUCGCUGUAAGAUGGACUCGCGUCUGAUUAGAUAGUUGGAGGGGUAACGGCCCACCAAGGCGACGAUCAGUAGCCGGACUGAGAGGUUGAACGGCCACAUUGGGACUGAGAUACGGCCCAGACUCCUACGGGAGGCAGCAGUGGGGAAUAUUGGGCAAUGGGCGCAAGCCUGACCCAGCAAUGCCGCGUGAAGGAAGAAGGCUUUCGGGUUGUAAACUUCUUUUGUCAGGGACGAGUAGAAGACGGUACCUGACGAAUAAGCCACGGCUAACUACGUG
rnacentral:rRNA from 1 species